UACGAAGGGUGCAAGCGUUACUCGGAAUUACUGGGCGUAAAGCGUGCGUAGGCGGUUUGUUAAGUCCGCUGUGAAAGCCCUGGGCUCAACCUGGGAAUUGCAGUGGAUACUGGCAAGCUAGAGUGCGGUAGAGGAUGGUGGAAUUCCCAGUGUAGAGGUGAAAUUCGUAGAUAUUGGGAAGAACACCGAUGGCGAAGGCAGCCAUCUGGACCGACACUGACGCUGAGGCGCGAAAGCGUGGGGAGCAAACAGG
rnacentral:rRNA from 1 species